rnacentral:rRNA from 1 species
GUCUGGUGCCAGCAGCCGCGGUAAUUCCAGCUCCAAUAGCGUAUAUUAAAGUUGUUGCAGUUAAAAAGCUCGUAGUUGAAUUUCUGUUAAAGAUAACCGGUCGGCCUUUUUAGGUUGCAACCAGGUGUGUCUUUAACAUCAUUUUGGACAACGUUUUCUUUACUUAAUUGUACGGAAACGGUAUCCAAAACUUUUACUUUGAGAAAAUUAAAGUGUUUCAAGCAGGCUAACGUCUUGAAUACUGCAGCAUGGAAUAAUAAAAUAGGAUUUUAGUUCUAUUUUGUUGGUUUCUAGAACUGAAAUAAUGAUUAAUAGGGACAGUUGGGGGCAUUCGUAUUUAACUGUCAGAGGUGAAAUUCUUGGAUUUGUUAAAGACGAACUACUGCGAAAGCAUUUGCCAAAAAUGCUUUCAUUAAUCAAGAACGAAAGUUAGGGGAUCGAAGACGAUCAGAUACCGUCGUAGUCCUAACCAUAAACUAA